rnacentral:rRNA from 1 species
UACGAAGGGGGCUAGCGUUGCUCGGAAUCACUGGGCGUAAAGCGCACGUAGGCGGAUUCCUAAGUCGGGGGUGAAAUCCUGGAGCUCAACUCCAGAACUGCCUUCGAUACUGGGAAUCUUGAGUCCGGUAGGGGACCACGGAAUUCCUGGUGUAGCGGUGAAAUGCGCAGAUAUCAGGAGGAACACCAGUGGCGAAGGCGGUGGUCUGGGCCGGAACUGACGCUGAGGAGCGAAAGCGUGGGUAGCAAACAGG